rnacentral:lncRNA from 1 species
AAAAUAACAAACUCCCACUAAAACUGAAUAUCACUUAAUGACUUGACACCCAUACGAGCAAUAUGCUCAUGGAGCCUUUUGGGUGAAAAACUUUAGUAAGCGGAUCCGCAAAUAUGGAGUUUGUACCGAUAUGCUUUAUAGACAACCGUUCACUCUGAACUUGAUCUUUAAUAACAAGAAUUUGAUCUCUAUAUUCUUGAAUUUGUCGAGUUCAUUGUUAUUGAAAAUAGAACUAAUAAUUUAUUGUCACAAAUAACUUUAGUGGUAUUUUAAUUCCUUAUCCACUAUGUGCAGCCCCGUGACAAAGUUCUAUAAUCAGAUGCCUCAUGAUAUGUUAUCUUU